rnacentral:pre_miRNA from 1 species
AGUGGUAUUUUGGGGUUGUAUGAUACUAGGUUGUAUGUUUUUAAUUUUUGAGGAACCUACAUACUGUUUUCCAAAAUGACUGAAUUAAUUUACAUUCCCACUAACAGU